rnacentral:rRNA from 1 species
UACAGAGGUCUCAAGCGUUGUUCGGAUUCAUUGGGCGUAAAGGGUGCGUAGGUGGCGCGGUAAGUCGGGUGUGAAAUCUCGGAGCUUAACUCCGAAACUGCAUUCGAUACUGCCGUGCUUGAGGACUGGAGAGGAGACUGGAAUUUACGGUGUAGCGGUGAAAUGCGUAGAUAUCGUAAGGAAGACCAGUGGCGAAGGCGGGUCUCUGGACAGUUCCUGACGCUGAGGCGCGAAGGCUAGGGGAGCAAACGGG